rnacentral:misc_RNA from 1 species
GAACGCACCUUGCGCUCCCUAGUAUUCUGGGGAGCAUGUCUGUUUGAGUGUCAUGAACUCUUCAACCCACUGGUUUCUUGUAGACUAGCUGGUGUUUGGAUUUUGAACGUUGCUGGUCUUCGGACGUAGCUCGUUCGUAAUACAUUAGCAUCUCUAAUUCGAAUUCGGAUUGACUCAGUGUAAUAGACUAUUCGCUGAGGACACUUUUAUUAGUGGCCGAACAAGAUAAUUGUAGAAGCUUCAAACCUCUAUAGUCAAUUUUAGAUUAGACCUCAGAUCAGGCAGGAUUACCCGCUGAACUUA